UACGAAGGGGGCUAGCGUUGCUCGGAAUUACUGGGCGUAAAGGGCGCGUAGGCGGACAGUUUAGUCAGAGGUGAAAGCCCAGGGCUCAACCUUGGAAUUGCCUUUGAUACUGGCUGUCUUGAGUUCGGGAGAGGUAAGUGGAAUGCCGAGUGUAGAGGUGAAAUUCGUAGAUAUUCGGCGGAACACCAGUGGCGAAGGCGCCUCACUGGCACGAUACUGACGCUGAGGCGCGAAAGCGUGGGGAGCAAACAGG
rnacentral:rRNA from 1 species